ACUCCUACGGGAGGCAGCAGUGGGGAAGUCUUAGACAAUGGGCGCAAGCCUGAUCUAGCCAUGCCGCGUGAGUGAUGAAGGCCGUUAGGGUCGUAAAGCUCUUUCGCCAGGGAUGAUAAUGACAGUACCUGGUAAAGAAACCCCGGCUAACUCCGUGCCAGCAGCCGCGGUAAUACGGAGGGGUUAGCGUUGUUCGGAAUUACUGGGCGUAAAGCGCGCGUAGGCGGAUUAGUCAGUUAGAGGUGAAAUCCCAGGGCUCAACCCUGGAACUGCCUUUAAUACUGCUAGUCUUGAGUUCGAGAGAGGUGAGUGGAAUUCCGAGUGUAGAGGUGAAAUUCGUAGAUAUUCGGAGGAACACCAGUGGCGAAGGCGGCUCACUGGCUCGAUACUGACGCUGAGGUGCGAAAGUGUGGGGAGCAAACAGGAUUAGAUACCCUGGUAGCGACUGA
rnacentral:rRNA from 1 species